rnacentral:rRNA from 1 species
GUAGGGAAUAUUGGGCAAUGGAUGCAAGUCUGACCCAGCCAUCCCGCGUGCCGGAAGAAGGCCCUCAGGGUUGUAAACGGCUUUUGACGGUGAAGAAUCGACAGGAUGCGUCCUGUUUUGACGGUAGCCGUUGAAUAAGCACCGGCUAACUCCGUGCCAGCAGCCGCGGUAAUACGGAGGGUGCGAGCGUUGUCCGGAUGUAUUGGGUUUAAAGGGUGCGUAGGCUGGAAGGUCAGUCAGCGGUGAAAAGCUGUCGCUUAACGAUAGUCUUGCCGCAGAUACUUCCUUUCGUGGAUGAGGAGGAGGCCACUGGAACGGAUGGUGUAGCGGUGAAAUGCAUAGAUAUCAUCCAGAACACCGAUUGCGAAGGCAGGUGGCUGUACCUUAAGCGACGCUGAUGCACGAAAGCAUGGGGAGCAAACAGGAUUAGAAACCCUUGUAGUCC